rnacentral:rRNA from 1 species
GAUGAACGCUGGCGGCGUGCCUAAUACAUGCAAGUCGAGCGAACAGACGAGGAGCUUGCUCCUCUGACGUUAGCGGCGGACGGGUGAGUAACACGUGGAUAACCUACCUAUAAGACUGGGAUAACUUCGGGAAACCGGAGCUAAUACCGGAUAAUAUAUUGAACCGCAUGGUUCAAUAGUGAAAGACGGUUUUGCUGUCACUUAUAGAUGGAUCCGCGCCGCAUUAGCUAGUUGGUAAGGUAACGGCUUACCAAGGCAACGAUGCGUAGCCGACCUGAGAGGGUGAUCGGCCACACUGGAACUGAGACACGGUCCAGACUCCUACGGGAGGCAGCAGUAGGGAAUAUUCCGCAAAGGGCGAAAGCCUGACGGAGCAACGCCGCGUGAGUGAUGAAGGUCUUCGGAUCGUAAAACUCUGUUAUUAGGGAAGAACAGAUGUGUAAGUAACUAUGCAUGUCUUGACGGUACCUAAUCAGAAAGCCACGGCUAACUACGUG